ensembl:lncRNA
CAGAGUAGUGCGGGUCUCGGCACCGUGCUGCCUCUUACUAGUUUCGAGAACAUCCUUUUUUUUCUCUUCAGUAUAACUCUCGCCACAGCCAUCAUUUGUAUCAACGUGUCCGUGUUUGUGUCCAUCGUGAUGAACAGAUCCCUGCGCAGCGAGAACCGCUUCAUGUACAUGCUCAGCACGUGUCUCAGUGACUUCUGCACGGGCGUCUCCUAUUAUUAUGUUGGAGUUAUGGAUGUACGCGAUUAUUAUGACUCACCGACUCGCACUUUCUACAUUGUUCCCAUUUUCUUGGGUCUGUCCUAUAUGGCGAUUCUGGCCGCGCAGGCGGACCGCUACCACGCGGUCUCAGCGCCUUUCAAAUACUCGCAGCGCAUGACGCGGAGCAGAACCCUGCUGGUGAUUCUGGCCUACUGGCUUUAUGCUUUUCUCAUAGUGGCUGUUAAUAAUUUGGUGCCUGUGGAGGUUGCUAAAAGAGUGACGGGCUUUGGUACUUUAGUAGUGAACAUUUUCACCGUCAUUAUCAUGAUUGGGUUGAACGUCAGGCUGUUCUUCAUCGCCAGAUUUCAGCUGGAACGCGAACCCCCGAGCGAGGAACGCGACAACAAGCGCGCGUCCAUUUAUCUCAUCAUAAUAGUGGCCGUGUGUUUUCUGAUCGCGUGGUUGCCUCUUUUUCUUCAUGUCAUUAUAUGUAAUUUUGCUGGGUCUACGUGCUAUACGUUCAGAAAUGAGGGCACAGACCCCCUGCGCAUUUUGGCGCGUCUCAAUGCAGUCAUCACACCAUUACUGUACAUCAGAGGCUGUACUGCACUCAGGAGCACCAUAAUGAUUCAAGUCUGGAGAAUAGCAUGCUACAAGAGGAAAGGAGUGAACCCACAGAAUGUGGAGAAGACUGUAGACAGGAUGUAGCAGGGAUCUUCAGGAUGUGACAAACUUCAGGACUUUUUAAAGAGAAUUUAAG